rnacentral:rRNA from 1 species
AUUGAACGCUGGCGGCAGGCCUAACACAUGCAAGUCGAACGAGUGGCGGACGGGUGAGUAAUGUCUUGGAAACUGCCCGAUGGAGGGGGAUAACUACUGGAAACAGUAGCUACUACCGCAUACCAUCGGAUGUGCCCAGAUGGGAUUAGCUAGUAGGUGGGGUAACGGCUCACCUAGGCGACGAUCCCUAGCUGUUCUGAGAGGAUGACCAGCCACACUGGAACUGAGACACGGCCCAGACUCCUACGGGAGGCAGCAGUGGGGAAUAUUGGACAAUGGGCGAAAGCCUGAUGCAGCCAUGCCGCGUGUAUGAAGAAGGCCUUCGGGUUGUAAAGUACUUUCAGCGGGGAGGCGUUACUUGCAGAAGAAGCACCGGCUAACUACGUGCCAGCAGCCGCGGUAAUUC